rnacentral:rRNA from 1 species
CCUACGGGAGGCUGCAGUGAGGAAUAUUGGUCAAUGGACGAGAGUCUGAACCAGCCAAGUAGCGUGAAGGAUGACUGCCCUAUGGGUUGUAAACUUCUUUUAUAUGGGAAUAAAAUGUUCCACGUGUGGGAUUUUGUAUGUACCAUAUGAAUAAGGAUCGGCUAACUCCGUGCCAGCAGCCGCGGUAAUACGGAGGAUCCGAGCGUUAUCCGGAUUUAUUGGGUUUAAAGGGAGCGUAGGUGGAUUGUUAAGUCAGUUGUGAAAGUUUGCGGCUCAACCGUAAAAUUGCAGUUGAAACUGGCAGUCUUGAGUACAGUAGAGGUGGGCGGAAUUCGUGGUGUAGCGGUGAAAUGCUUAGAUAUCACGAAGAACUCCGAUUGCGAAGGCAGUUCACUGGACUGCAACUGACACUGAGGCUCGAAAGUGUGGGUAUCAAACAGGAUUAGACACCCGAGUAGUC